rnacentral:tRNA from 1 species
GCCUAACUAGCUCAGUUGGGAAAGCGUUAGACUUUAGAUCGAAAAGUCCCUGGUUCGAUCCUGGGUUUCGAGU